UCUUUGGUAUGUCUUCAAACAAACUGUCACAAUGGAAAUUCAGAAGAUUAGAAAAAACAUUAUUUUAUGAAAAUAAUAUUUUAAAGAAUUAUUGCUGAGUCAGAAAUCAACCUUUUGGAUAAUUGAUUCUAAGUGUAGUUUAAUUUGCCAUCCCAAUUUUAGUAAAAUAAUAUUUAAGGAAAUAUUAUUUUAUGGAUUGGAACGUCUAUUAACUCUUAUAAAAUGGCGACAAGUUGUAUGUAAAUAUUUGACUUGCUUGGCACUUGCAUUAGCUGUUAGCGGUUGUAGCUAACAAAGGAAAGCUUAUAGCUUGUUCACAACUUUAAAUUCAAACAUGAACAGUAUAUAGAACCACCAUUAACGUACAAAAUAUUAAGAUGCCUGUGAGCGCUGGCGGCGCGUAAUGGCCGAUCUGUAAUUAAAACCACUUAUUAAAUAAAGUUUGUGUAGAUCCUCAUUAAACGAAACCUGAGCCUGACGCUCCCAUUACCUCCCACAUGUCUCUCAUCCCGACAAAAAAUAUAUAAAACAAAUUCUCAGAGAUGUCUUGCUUCAAAAUGUUUACUUAAUGAACCGAACAUGUACAACAAAAGAGGAAAAUAAGGAAAAGCGACUUAUCCACAUGUUAGUUAAACAAAAAGGAAGGAGGGAGGUCAAAAAACUGUUAGGCUUCACUCCCCAUCUUUUCAGUCUUCCACCUCGACCUUCCUUCUUUCCCCUAGGCUCCACCCACAUCAUCUGACCAAAAUAAGCAUCUUACCAGCCUCAUAACUAACAAACACCCUGCAUAACACAUAGUUUAGGCUCCUACAUCACCAGCCCCUAAUUGUUAACAAUAUCUUUGGAACAAUUACUUAAACUCUUAUUCAAAAUGUCUAAACUAUUUAAAGAAAAAAAAAAAACAUUCAAACAAUGUGUCCUAUCCCAUAAUGUCCAUAAUGAAGCAUUGACCUUCGAAAGACCUUAUUCUUCUUCAGAUUCUUGAAGGAGACACAGCUUGGUCACCGGGCGGCAAAGCUCAUUGGUCUUGGUCCUUACUUUAACUUGAUGGACAAAGCCUUUACUGUCAGGAAACGUCUCUGUUACUUUCCCCAGAAGCCAGGAGUUUCUGGGUGAGCUGUCAUCAACAAUAAGCACCACAUCACCAACACGCAAGUUUCUUCCUGAUGUGGACCAUCGAAGUCGUUCUUGGAGUUGGGUAAGAUAUUCCUUGCACCAUCGUUUCCAGAAGACAUCCAAAAGAUACCGGACCUGUCUCCAUCUGCGUCUAACAUACUGAUCAUCUUUGUUGAACACUCCAGGUUGUAAAUCAGGUUUGACUUUGAGUAAAAGCAGAUGAUUAGGUGUUAACGCUUCUAAAUCAUUCAGAUCUGAGGAUGCUGUUGUUAUGGGCCUGCUGUUCAAGAUUGCUUCAGCCUCACACAGCAAGAUUCUGCAGGAUCCUUUUGGCAGGCAGUACCACAGGAACAAUGAAUCCCAAAGGAUCAAAGACUGAACUAACCAGGGACAGCAGACCUCUUCUUGAGGUCCAAAAGGCGCUGGUUAUGUGGCCCGGUCUGGCACAACGCGGUAUGCACGAACCACGAAAUGUGGCAGCUACUCUCAGUAGUAGCUAUGUGGGUAGCCCCCAGUGCCCUGACUGGCACCCAGGAAGACAUGCACUACUGUGAUUCCUGUGUCUCCUCUUCAGCGGGGAGGAAGGAAGCCGCCUCACUCGACGUGAUUUUGUCUCUGCUGAGAACACCCUGGCUCUGAUGGCAAUCAUUAAAAUUACAAGAAAUAAAGGCUUGAAAUAUUUUGCUCUAUGUGAUAUGAAUCUAUAUAAUGCAAGUUUAACUUUCUGAAAUGUGGACAAAAGAGAUAUAACUGAAGCUCCUUAAAUGGCUUCGUUUCACUUUCUGGACUUUCACUUUCUGUGGCAAAAAAGUUUUUCUUCAUAUUCAAAUAUUUUGAGAUGUACCUGUAUGUACUAAUGGAUAGUAGUACUGGUUUAGAGCUUGUCAGAGCUAUGUUUAUUUCCUUGUUAAAGCCACUAAGGGAGCUACUGUGGCCAUUAAGUGUUUCAUGCAAACCUCUUUUGUUGAAUAAAAAUAACUUUA